GGUGAAGUGUCCGAGUGGUCGAAGGAGCACGCCUGGAAAGUGUGUAUACGGGAAACCGUAUCAAGGGUUCAAAUCCCUUCUUCACCGCCA
rnacentral:tRNA from 3 species